CUUCCACCGAGAUUUCUUCUGUAACUUCCAGGAGCUAGCACAGCUCUGCUAAGCCAGCAGAGGUUGUCCCAAGCACCAGCACACACAGCUGGCGCAAUCGAUGACCACGGGGUUUGCCUUCAAUUUCUACGAGCAGCACUUGGGAGACCUGGCUGCCGAUCCUAUACAGCAACGAAUCUGAGCUGGAAGCUUUCUUUAGGGGUUUCCUCAAAGAGACCCUCACAGAUCUACCUGGAACCCCUUGCAUUUACUCCGGCGAGCAGCAGGCACGCAGCCGAGGGAGGAAGGCACUGUGCCUCAGCUGCCUGGCAGGCGGCCACCCUUCUGCGCGUCCCCAGCAGCACAAGGAAAAGUCAGCAGGGAAAGCUUAUUCAAGGAUAAAUCCAAGCAAAAGCGCAAACAUCGAUGCAAAGUGACUCACUCCUCUGCCGCCUCCUCCAUACCGAGGGGCCGCACUUUGUCAGGUAACUACCGAGGAGCAAAGGUCUUUUUCCUCCUGUCUCUGAGGCUGGUGUAGGCAAGAGCUCUGUGGGAAGACAGGAAAUAAUACAGGGUUGCCCUAAUAAAGCAAACAGCACAGCAACUGGGACUAUUGCAUCAUUCACUACGGUUGUCUUAAGUUCACUGUGGAUCAGCCCUUUUUUUUUUCCUUUUUUCUUCUACGAGGUUUGUCUUCUAGCUAAUGGCACCUCAGCAGCUGACAAUGGAUUGAAGGCUCGGCUUUUAGAUUCACAAAAACCUUAAGAUUCUGCGUAGAAAACGCCCAGAAAGCCUGAACUAGUGCAGUCUAAUGAUGCUAUAAAAGCAGUUAACAUCAACUACCUCCACCGCUAUCAACUCUUGAUCUUUGCUCCAAAAGGACAUUGUUACUUGAGUGUGUGCUUGUGGCUGCUGCACGGCCAGAAGCGUGCCUUCGCGCUGGGAGACGAGUGUUUCCUUAUAAAGGAACUGAGCACUGCUGGCAACUCAGUUCAGAUUCCAAAAACGUUGAGAGCAUUCAGUCUGGAAACUCAAAAUUCACUGUUAGUCUGCAGCUGAUAACCGGGACUGAGCAGAGCCCGAAGGGACAACAGUUAAGGACUGGAUUUUUUUGUUUGUUUUACACUUUCCAAAGUAGAAGAAGGUUGUUAGGAGCUGGCGCUACUCUUUUUCACAGCUGCUGUACAACCUCUGGAGUCACCACACAGGCUGACGCUGGCGGUUAUUAAAUUGCCAGGGACAAACCAGGUAUCUUCAGCCUGAGGAAACCUUACAGCCGUGUCACAGUACGGCUUGAAAUGAACCCACACACUCCCAGUGCAGCUCACUGCUUCCAAAAAGAGGGUAAAUGCCUGUAACGAAGGCACUCCCCCUUCAACACGGGGCUCGUACCACGAUGGGAGUCUUGUAAACAUACUAAAAAAGGGAAAAAACCAAAACCCUGCACAGCUUUUGUGGUAAUUUUAAUUGUAAUUUCGCUGUAAGUGUGCAGGGCAGCAGCGAGAUGUCUGCGAAGGCCACUGCAGCAAGGAGGAACACGCCAGGCUCCCAAGCGCGUGUUCUCAGCUGGCGUUUUAACCCUGCCUCUGCUGGCCUGCCCUGAGGAACAGCUGGCGAGGAGCCUCCACCCGCCAGCAACGACCGAAUAAAGCGGCUGUUUGUUAGCCUGGAUUCUCUCUUUGGCCCAGCACCACUCCGCUCGAGGAUUCAAUACAGCACAUUCCUCUUGUGCGUGUGUGCGCGCGCGCGCACUGGCUGGAAUACCGCUGGGCUCAGAGAGAGGGCUCGGUUCUGCUCCUUUUCAGUGUGGAAGCACUUGCCCAGCUCUGGACCGCACACAGAGCUGCAGGGGACACAGCGACCCCUCGACACAGGCAACGGUCCCUUGAAACCGUUCUCAGGGGGCAGCGGGGGAGAACAGCACGGCCCAACGGCCAGGCUGCUCCUGUUCCAGGGCCUGCCAACCUCACCGAAACGAGGCAGCGGCAAGGAGGCACGCCAGCGGCCGAUCACAGUCGGGAGAGAUGACGACACCACGGCACAUCCAGGGCGACACGCGAGCGAGAACGCGCAGGUUCCUCUGAGGGGUUCAGCAGAAACGAGCUCUCCCCCCGUAUUGCCAGGCCGCUACCCCGCGGGCAGCGCUGCCGCCCACGUUGCCCCAGAGCCCUUCCACCAGGGCCCCCAUUGUACUUCCACGCGGCCCGCCGCAGGCGCAUGAGGUAAUGGGUGCAUUCAAUGCCUCGUCAGCGUGCGCCGCGCUAACACAGCGGCUCUUCUUCCCCUCACAAAGCCCUCGCUCCCGCCUCGAGCGCAAAGCGCUGCCCGAGCCCCGCGAGAGCAACUUCGCGAGGGAGAUGCAUCAGAUCCUCGACACGCUGGGUUUGUAGCACGCCUGCAUUGAAACGCAGCUCUGCCCACGACGUUUGCUUCGGGUUUUGCUAAAAAGCACUGUGGCCUCCAAUAUUUUCCCUGAAUAGUUAAAAUAUUUUACCUAAAACCAGCCCUUGCUCCUUCCUCACCUCUAAGAGGGGCGGGACAAGAAAUGCUCAGUUUGUCUCACAACAAGCUGGAAAGACUAAACUUGUUUUCAAGCGUUGCAUCGAUAACUUCACACCGUAGGCUUUCUUCCCUGUAAUCAGUGCCUGAGAGCCCUCGGCAGCGAUGCCCGCGCACGGUUAUCUACAGAGACACUUUGGGAACCAGUUCCGGACUUGUUUUGUUUGGGAACCACGUGCGCGCGCUGCAUAUACCAGCACGGACUACCCACAGCUUCUCAAGUGGAAACUUUUGCUUCGCAGAGAAGCAUCAUCAGUUUUUCCACCGACACCACGAACACACUGAGGUGUGCCUGCCCUAACUGCAGGGAUUUGCGAGCGGCGCGCUUCCCUGUCUGCCGGCCACCUCACUGCCAUCUACUUGCUCCCCAAUUCCGUGAGCAAACACCUUGUUCUCCCUAGGCCUGGCGUGCCACCCCACACCGCCCCUCCGAUCUCCCUUACAAACCCCUCCCUGCUGCCAGAACCGCCUGGGCAAGCAGGCGGCGCUUCCACCUGACUCAGUACGGCGCCACACCACACGCCCGCGACAAACACACUGCUUUCAACUUAAACUGCUGGCACCGGACCGCUCGGGGACAGCGGCCUUCCCAAAGCUGUCCCCUGCGUUGCCACGCAGCACCCUGGGAUGUCGCCAGCACCGAGACCUCGCUGUGCGAACGCAGCCAAGGCGGACACGAGGCCACGCAGGCUGGCUGCAGUCGGCAGCAGGAGAUGAGCUGACGCCUCUCCCGGGCCUGCUUCCGCACCGAGGGGCGAGCCACGGCCAACAAAUGGACUGAAAGCGAGGGUACUCAAACACGGCUGGGUCUUAAACGUGGCUUUGCUUUUCCCCUGUUACCAAGAUAACCCCUGGGACAGCAGCACUCCCACCUUACAGGGUAGGGAGGAGGCGCACUGCUUUGACUCCAUUCACCCCAGCGCCGGUGUGGGAACAGCAGCGACCCCCGAGUCCCAGCAGGACAAUUUCCCCCACAGGGACAGACACCCACGUUACACCGGGCAGUCUGUGCACCCGAAGAAGCCUGAAGCUUCAAUUCUUACCUGAAGCACAACAGGAAACAUAACUGCUUUUUUUUUUUUUUUACUGCUGUUGUGUAAGAGGCCAUUAUUUACACACCAUAAACCAGCAAGAAGUACGGGGUUAUUUGCAUAUCACUUGCAGGCAGACCUUGCCAGCUGGACUCGAGUUUUUUUUUUUUAUUUUGCUUUAUUUGGUCUCUUUUUGCAGGGAGGGCACAGGGAAGGGAAUCAAAACCCCAUUCAGCUAUUUCUUUUCCUGCCGAUAGGGGGUUACCAACUAGACUAGGAGAGAUGAGGAGAGCAAUCACAGAGAGCCAGAGGAAAAAUAAAUCUCUCCUGAAUUCCUGGAGGUUAUUUCCUCUGGCUGAAAGCUGAGGAAAGCAUCACCUUCACCCAGUAUCGCGAGGCUCGCUCCUGGUAAUUGUCCAGGUAGGCAGAACAAGCACUGCCUGCGGAGAGAGGCAAUCCCAGCAGCACUGCUGAAAAACAGGAAGUGUGGCAGCCAGGGGGAGGGCAGAAAUUUUGAGCAGCGCCUGUUCCUCCGCUGAAACACAUGUUUGUGAGGUAAUGCGGGUGUAAGCUGGUACUCAGCGGGACUCUUGCCGGAAAGCAAAGCUUCUUAGGAGCACAUUCAGCACAGAGAUCAGCUAGUUCGAGCCCAACCGUCUGCAGGAAUUUUCUCGUGGUCCUCUGCACUCCUAUAGCAACCUCAAGAUCACCCUUAAAAACAGCUUUUGAAGGCCUCUCUGGGCAUCCCAGACACUUUUUUUAUCAAGAUAUCCUUGAGACUGACGCCAACAGCAAACAGUCAGGUGAGCAGAAGGCUCCGAACAGCUUCAGAUGCAGGUUCUGGCUGUCCGCAGGCUCUCCCGCAUGAGAUUGCUGAGCUCAGCCCUCGCUCCCCACUGGAGCCUCCCGGUAGUGAUAUCCCGGCGGUGCGAGCAGGAACACGCCACACGCCCACACUGCCCAUUGUCAGGAGGCUGUCAGCUCGCAUACGAGGCACACGUACCUUGUAAUUACACGGAUUGGGGAAUACUGUUGACUAACAACGAGGAAAAAAUGAUUUGCACAGCCCUCCAAGGACCGUGGAAUCAUUUAAUCCAGUAGCAAAGAAACCGAACCUUGUGGCAAGACAGAUAAAAGCAGAAAAUCCAGUGUUCUUCUGAUGUAAAGUGAUGCCCUGCUGCUUGGCGUUAUGGUACUCUGCCAAAAGGCCUACACUCUGCCGAAAAGCAAAAUCAUUUGCUGCAACUAGAACACAUCUAAAAACAUAGGAACCAAAAAAAAAAAAAAAAGCCAAAAAAAACACACCCUGUUCUAAAAAGAUCACUGUGAGAAAUACUAGUUCUGGCUGACUUGGGAAUUGCCUGGUUCUGAAGCAAGAUGCAGCCUGACACGCUGAGGAGUCAUUUUAAACUAGGUUUGCGUACUGCAGAGGUGGUAGCUAGCUUGUUCAGACAAGCCUAUUUUAAACAAGAGCUGCAAGUCUCGUCAGACUUUCAGCAGCUUCAUCUGCAACUCCCAUUAGCUCUGCUCCACGCUGCAGCCCGGCCAGGGAUGCUUCGGCUGCGUUUUAUAGGAAGCAGGGAGAUUAACAGCACAUCCCGUGCACUGGGGCCGUGCGGGAUGGGAGUUUAUUUGCGAGCUGUGCCCUGUGUCAGGGACACUAACGGCGAAUGCUGCGGGUGGGCUGCGAUGCCCUUCAAAAGCUAGCGGGUUUUUCACUACCUACUUUGGUGCGAUCUCAGCCAGCCACUCGUGAUUGGCUGGCGCCGGCCGUUGCCGCGGCGAGCUGAGGAAACCCUGUGCAUCGCGCCGGCCUCCAGACAAAGCACCCGCCGCCGCCCGGCCUCCGCUUCUGGGGCGCUCGCCCCGAAAUGAUGAAAAAAAAAAAACAACAAUAAAAAUAAUGAAAAUGU